rnacentral:lncRNA from 1 species
UACUACAAUGCUUCCUUCUAGUAACAAUACUCCUUCAAUAAUUGAUAACAAUAGUGUACAACCUUGCACUCUUAAAAGACUGCUCAAAACUCAUAAAUUCCAUCCAACACCAGGAAUAACAGACUUCACUCCAACCAAUCUGGAUUCAUAGAAUUUCUGUAAUCACAGACUUCUUCUAUUCAAAACACACAUAACUCUCAAUAAACAACAAUCAUAAUCUUCCAUCCAUAAUCAAUCUUCCAAUAACUUCUCAUAUAAUUCAAUCACUCAGUACUCCAAUUACAUAAUCAAUAACUCAUAAAUCAAUCUCUGAUUUAUUCUACAAAUUCACUUCUCAGUAUUCAAAAAUUAUCCAUUACUCUUCAACAACAAAAUAACAAAGAAAACAAAGAGGUAGCACCAAGCUUAACCCAAGCUCAUAACUAUCACAAUCUGGCACUCCAAGAAACUUCUACAACUCCUAUAUAAUUGCUACUGAUUUCCAGAUCCUAAUCAUAAUCCUAUAAUAACCGCUUUUAAUAACUAAAUCAACCAUCCAUCCUCCUGAAUUGACUUUUCUAUGGACUAUUAAUCUAUUUUACCAAUAUCUUACAAAAAUGAACUAAUAUCUAUUCUACAUAACUUGACUCCUAUCAGUGCAACAUCUUCACAAACACACAAUUGAUUCCUAUUUAAAAACUACUUAACAAAACUCUACAAAGUUAUUACUUCUUCUGGCCCACCCAAUUAAUCAUUUGUUGCAUUAUCAAAUGUAGUUUCUACUGAUUCUAGUUCUAAAUUCAAUUUUUUCUCAUCCUCUA